UACGUAGGGCGCGAGCGUUGUCCGGAUUUAUUGGGCGUAAAGAGCUCGUAGGCGGUGUGUCACGUCGGCCGUGAAAACCUGCAGCUUAACUGUGGGCGUGCGGUCGAUACGGGCAUCACUGGAGUUCGGCAGGGGAGACUGGAAUUCCUGGUGUAGCGGUGAAAUGCGCAGAUAUCAGGAGGAACACCGGUGGCGAAGGCGGGUCUCUGGGCCGAUACUGACGCUGAGGAGCGAAAGCGUGGGGAGCGAACAGG
rnacentral:rRNA from 1 species